rnacentral:rRNA from 1 species
GGACCUACCGGGGGGCAGCAGUGGGGAAUUUUGGACAAUGGGCGCAAGCCUGAUCCAGCUAUUCCGCGUGUGGGAAGACGGCCUUCGGGUUGUAAACCACUUUUGUAGAGAACGAAAAGUCUGUUGAUAAUACCGAUAGAUGAUGACGGUACUCUAAGAAUAAGCACCGGCUAACUACGUGCCAGCAGCCGCGGUAAUACGUAGGGUGCGAGCGUUAAUCGGAAUUACUGGGCGUAAAGGGUGUGCAGGCGGUUUUGCAAGCUGGAUGUGAAAGCCCCGGGCUUAACCUUGG